GAGUUUGAUCGUGGCUCAGAUUGAACGCUGGCGGCAUGCCUUACACAUGCAAGUCGAGCGGCAGCAUGAUCUAGCUUGCUAGAUUGAUGGCGAGUGGCGAACGGGUGAGUAAUACAUCGGAACGUGCCCUGUAGUGGGGAUAACUAGUCGAAAGAUUAGCUAAUACCGCAUUACGACCUGAGGGUGAAAGUGGGGGAACCGCACGGCCUCAUGCUAUAGGAGCGGCCGAUGUCUGAUUAGCUAGUUGGUGGGGUAAAGGCCCACCAAGGCGACGAUCAGUAGCUGGUCUGAGAGGACGAUCAGCCACACUGGGACUGAGACACGGCCCAGACUCCUACGGGAGGCAGCAGUGGGGAAUUUUGGACAAUGGGGCAACCCUGAUCCAGCAAUGCCGCGUGUGUGAAGAAGGCCUUCGGUU
rnacentral:rRNA from 1 species